rnacentral:rRNA from 2 species
CUAAGAAUCUUCCGCAAUGGACGAAAGUCUGACGGAGCGACGCCGCGUGAACGACGAAGGCCGUGAGGUUGUAAAGUUCUUUUCCGGGGGGGGAAUAAGCGUGGCAGGGAAUGGCCGCGCGAUGACGUGAACCCGGGAAUAAGCCCCGGCUAACUACGUGCCAGCAGCCGCGGUAACACGUAGGGGGCGAGCGUUGUUCGGAAUCAUUGGGCGUAAAGGGUGCGCAGGCGGCCGACCGAGUCUGGUGUGAAAUACCCCGGCCCAACCGGGGGGGCGCGCUGGAAACUGGUCGGCUGGAGUGCAGGAGGGGGAGUCGGAAUUCCAGGUGUAGGGGUGAAAUCUGUAGAUAUCUGGAAGAACACCGGUGGCGAAGGCGGACUCCUGGCCAUGCACUGACGCUGAGGCACGAAGGCGUGGGGAGCAAACAGG